rnacentral:rRNA from 1 species
AACGAACGCUGGCGGCAUGCCUAACACAUGCAAGUCGAACGAGACCUUCGGGUCUAGUGGCGCACGGGUGCGUAACGCGUGGGAACCUGCCUUUAGGUUCGGAAUAACUCAGAGAAAUUUGAGCUAAUACCGGAUAAUGUCUUCGGACCAAAGAUUUAUCGCCUUUAGAUGGGCCCGCGUUGGAUUAGCUAGUUGGUGGGGUAAAGGCCUACCAAGGCGACGAUCCAUAGCUGGUCUGAGAGGAUGAUCAGCCACACUGGGACUGAGACACGGCCCAGACUCCUACGGGAGGCAGCAGUGGGGAAUAUUGGACAAUGGGCGAAAGCCUGAUCCAGCAAUGCCGCGUGAGUGAUGAAGGCCUUAGGGUUGUAAAGCUCUUUUACCCGAGAUGAUAAUGACAGUAUCGGGAGAAUAAAGCUCCGGCUAAACUCCGUGCCAGCAGCCGCGGUAAAGUGACUACUG